rnacentral:rRNA from 1 species
GCCCGGUAGCUAAAUGCGGAAGAGAUAAGUGCUGAAAGCAUCUAAGCACGAAACUUGCCCCGAGAUGAGUUCUCCCUGACUCCUUGAGAGUCCUGAAGGAACGUUGAAGACGACGACGUUGAUAGGCCGGGUGUGUAAGCGCAGCGAUGCGUUGAGCUAACCGGUACUAAUGAACCGUGAGGCUUAACCUUACAACGCCGAAGGUGUUU